rnacentral:lncRNA from 1 species
GCUUUUUGGUCUUUCCUGCUGCCUUGUGAAGAAGGUGCUUGUUUCUUCUUUGCCUUCUGCCAUGAUUGCCAUGUGAAUCGCACCCCUGGAACUGUGCAGGGCCCACCUGUGUGGCCACACGCAGUGACCCUGAGCAAAGGAGUGACCACAGAAGUGCAUGGCAAAGCAGAAAGGUGUGACGUCUUGGAGGACGCGGGAGGAAAGCACGCCCAGCGGACAGGAGCCAUCACGCGGCUGCGGGCUGCUGCUGAGAACCUGGCGUGGGCCACCGUCGUCAGCAGCGUGGAGGGAGCCGAGGAGCAUGGACACCGUCUUCUCCUUCCAGCAGGCACAGGUAUGGAAGGAGACUGAGGCUGGUCUUGGAUGUCAGAGUCCAUCUGGAUAAUCCUGGAUAAAUCUCAUCUGGAGAUCCUUCACCAGAUCACAUCGGCAAUGACCUGUUCCCCAAAUAAGGCCCUGUGCACAGGUUCUGGGGUGCUAGGAGUGAGCCACCAUGCCUGGCCCAGUUUUUAAUGCUUGGACAUCUCCAAAAUCAGGACAUAUCUUGUAAUUGAAGACGUCUCACCAUAGCGGCCAGCCGUGCAACCACUGGGCCUGUCUGUGCCUGAACAACACACUGGCCUGCCUUUGCCUGAACAAGACAGCCUUAGUCUCAAAGCUUGCAGAUGGGUGUGGCCUGGUAGAAAAUUCUCAAGACAACGGCGGAGCACGCUUGCCCCUAGGAGACCAAGUGGCCGGAAUGUUGAGAAUCAGCCUUUCGCAGAAAUCCCCUAAGCGGGAGGCAGCAGGCUGACUCCAUCAGCCCCAGGCAGGCUUCUGGGCCCUGCAGCUAUGGCUCUUCAUCCUUUUACAUGUUCUUCGAGAAUCAGCUGCACCCUGGAUGCUUCUGACAGCUCAGAGGACAUCAGCAUGAGGACAAGCACAGGGCUUGAUGGCUCGGAGGGAAAUGGAGUUGGAAGAUUUGGACUUAAUGUGCACACAUUUUAGAAAUAUCUUAACAAAUUUUAUUUUGCUGAUAUCUUUCUUUUUUGUGUGUGCCAAAGUGAUGGCCAGUACAAAUCCAUGUCUAAUUAAGUCCAGAAGAGCUCCUUCAAUAAGCGUAAGAUGAAAGUUAUGAGUGAUAAGAAAGCGUCAUGUCAGUUUAAUUGGCAGCAUUUUCUCUUUCUUAGUGGUUCAUAAAAUAAGGCAGUGCUUUGCUAUCGACGG